GUAGUUCCCUCUUACACUUUCCGACUCCUCUCUCUCAAUCAUCGAUUUCUCUAUAAAUUCUUCUCAGUGCCUGUUUUCUGCAUAACAUCAUCAGAUUUUCCUCUGUUGGAUUCUCUUUCGUUAAUCGCAGUAGGAAUUCUCAGUACUUAAGAUUUCGGAACCCUUAUUCUUUCCUCUAUGGAACGCCACCAAAACCCUAACCCCGAUCGUUCUCCUCGCAGAAAACGAAGCACCAGAAGGUUUCAACGGAACGCUAAGUAUGAUAACAAAACUUACCAUGGAAAACAAAGGCAAACCAUGGUUUUGGCUCCGAUUAGGAUUCUAAAACGGGGCGAGGUGCUCGACGAAAGGACUGGAGUUGAUUUUAAUGAGAGUGAGAAGAAGGUGUACCACCAAACGGAUCGUUCGUCCGAGCAGAUUCGAUAUUCGAAUUCAAAUUUUAGUGAAUUUUUUUCUGGAUUGACUGUUGUUGAUUCACCGCAUCCAAGUUCAGUUCCUUUGCCGAAUUUCUUGGUGCCACGAGUAAAAUAAAACUAAGGCUGCCGCCGGAUUUGCAGAUGGAUUGAGAAAGGGAGUGUUGAUUUGAAUUGAAGUUCGGUUUCUCUGAUUUGGUACUUCUCCUCGUUUUUUCAUGGGGAAAAACCGAAUCUUGAAGCUUAGUUCAGACUGCAACCAUACAAGUGCUAGCUGAGCAGGGCGGAAUACUGAGGUUACUGAUUUGCCUUGGUUACAUGUCAGCAAGAAGCACAGACCAUGUUUGGUAUGAAUUUAGCUAAGCAAGGUGUGCAUACAAAGCUGUAUUUAUUCCUUGUUAGAUAUAGUUUAUUUAGUCCAAUAUUGUUGAUCGUCAAUUUCAUAGAGCUAAUUGAGUAAUAAGAUAAGGUUAUGGGUUUAUUUGGCAA